GGUCUUAUAGUCAAUAAAAUGAUAUUAAAUUGCAAAUUUAAAGUAGAAUAAAAAUUCUAAGGCUU
rnacentral:tRNA from 1 species